GAUGAACGCUGGCGGCGUGCUUAACACAUGCAAGUCGAACGAUGAAGCCCAGCUUGCUGGGUGGUUUAGUGGCGAACGGGUGAGUAACACGCGAGUAACCUGCCCUUGACUCUGGGAUAAGCCUGGGAAACUGGGUCUAAUACUGGAUAUGACUUCUCAUCGCAUGGAGGGGGGUGGAAAGAUUUAUUGGUCUUGGAUGGACUCGCGGCCUAUCAGCUUGUUGGUGAGGUAAUGGCUCACCAAGGCGACGACGGGUAGCCGGCCUGAGAGGGUGACCGGCCACACUGGGACUGAGACACGGCCCAGACUCCUACGGGAGGCAGCAGUGGGGAAUAUUGCACAAUGGGCGCAAGCCUGAUGCAGCGACGCCGCGUGAGGGAUGACGGCCUUCGGGUUGUAAACCUCUUUCAGUAGGGAAGAAGCGAGAGUGACGGUACCUGCAGAAGAAGCGCCGGCUAACUACGUG
rnacentral:rRNA from 1 species